GCACAUAGCCUGCACCUCUUCUGACCCCGUCCAGAUGCAUUAGAAUCCCAAGUGUCCCGCGGUUCCCAAAGACUAAAUGGGUCCCUGCUGAGUAAGGGCACACAAGGGCACCCACUACAGGAGGAGGAACUUUCCAAGCGUUUACUCAUCUCCUUUUCCUUGCUGAGCACAGAUCCGAGUCACAGGACAAACCACGUGUCCGCGCAUCCGGAAGCGGAGGGAGGAGCCCGACUUCCCGGGUUUCGUCCGAUCGUGCGCAGAGCACACGAGGUUCCGGGAAGCAGGACCACCAACAGGCACGGAUUUCAGGAGGCUUAGCUGAGGGCGUGGACAUGCGCCACAGUCUGACAAGUGCUACAAGGGACCGUCCUCAGCUACAGGAGCCCCGUGACUCUGGAGUCGGAGAAGCCUGGGUUUGGGUCGCUUCUCUCUCUCUCUGCCAGCCUCAGUCUCCCCAUGUGGGCCAUGGAACAGCUCCACCGUCCAAGCCGGGCAUCCUGGAGGCGGGUGGCCGCGGGGGUCUGGCUCUGCCGCCCUGCUCAUGUCUGGCGGACACGCCUCAGUCCCCAGCAAGCCUCAGGCCUCCUGCUCUGCAUCCAAAAGGCCGCGGCCACACCGGCACCACGCCCCUCCCCCCACCGCGUCAUUGGGGGGAACCCAAGGCACGCGGCGCCUCCCCUCCCAUCCAGCAGGGGAAUCUUUCCCAUGAAUCCCCCUGCAGCCCCUCUCAGUUCAUUGGCCAGGCUUGGGUCACAUGAUGGCCUAGACCAAUCACCGGGCAAGUGGCACAAGAUUGGCACGACGGCUCAGCCAAUCAUAAAAAGCUAUGGGCAGGGUCAAGGUUGCUCCUCUCUGAGGACUUCCAGGCUCCCCACGGGAUGCGCUUCUGGAGCAGGUGCACAGUGGAAAGAAUGUUCCAGAAGUCCCCAUGCCGCCCCAGGGGCAGCUCUGGGACGCACUAGGAGACCUGCCCCAGAACCACCGUGGUUCGCUCCAGCCUACACACUGUCUCCCCUGGCCUGUGGAGACCGGGUGGAUGCCGUGGUAGCCUCAGCCGCACAAUAGCGGGGUGUGGAAAAUCGGGGUGUGGGGGCGGGAAAUGGGGAGAGACAGACCGCAGGAGAAUCGGAGUGGGGGGGAGAGGAAGGACCUGGGGACAGGGCGGGACAGGCAGGAGUCAGGCCAAGGCCAGAUGUGCACACGGACUCUCCACGAAGCCAGAUGAGCGCGGAUGAAGAUGCCCACUUGGGCGGGGCUUCCCAGAAGGGUGACAGGGCGGCUGGCCACCCCCAUGCUGGUGUGUGGACGGUGUCACCCUCCUGCUGUCUGCGUCGGAGCCUGGGAUCCAAACAGGAAGCGUGUCAUUGUCAGUCUCGCCACCGUCCGCCCCCUUGCUGCCGCAGUAACACGUCACCUGUCGGAGGCCGAGCACCGAGGCGUCUACUUCUCACCGGUGCCGGGUCCAGCACGGUCAGUGGGGGUGCCCUCCACGCAGUGACAUAGGGGCCCCGGCUGCAUCCGUCUCACCCCGGGGCUCCCAAGGUCGGGCCGGGACCUGCUCCUGACCUCCAGCCUCGCAGUGGCGGCUCGUCUCCGUGCAGACGGUCUGGAGCCCCUUGGCCUGGCUGACGGGACGGGGCUCACUGUCCCGCUCCUCUGUGUGACCUCUCUGGUCACUUCCCCGUCCCAGAAAUGGGUGGUGACGUCACCUCUGUGCUCGGCUGGCGGUGGGGACAGACGCUGGCCCGCGAUCAGCGCACGAGAAAUGCUGCCUGUCGUUAUGCUCGACAGCAGGGACGUGGCAAUAGAACAAGAAGCCCGUUUGCACGCGUUGGAAGCACCGGUGUGACUGUGAGGUUGUCGUUGCCUCCUCGCGGACCAGCCUCACGGUCUGAAGCCGCGGACGGUCGCGGCUCCGCCCGGCCUGGACCCGCAGCCUGCAGCCCAAGGUCACCAGCAGAGUCUCCUUUCCCACGCAGGGAACAGCCGUCCUGUCCGCCGCCUCCUCCCUCGGCACCGCAUCCCUGAGCCAGCAUUCCGUCCGAGUGUUGUCGCACCUUCCUUCCUGGACUUGCCUGGGUCACGCACUCAUCCCCGAACAGGCACGGCGGCCUGAGGGAGACAGCGCGCUGUUAACUCAGGCCACGUAACGGGUUGCUUCCCAGCCACGGAUGGAGUCAACUUCGACUUACGUGGGCUGCAGGGAAGGGAAGGGGCGGUCACCUGGAGGGAAACUGAGGGCCUUUACCAGCAGAACGGGGCAGCUGGGCAGCGGGACAGCAGACGUCCCCUGAAGUGCGUUCAGAUGUGCCACCCCAAGAGGUGCCGCUGGCACGUGCGGAUUAUUUCGGGCUGAAGGCGUGAUAGGAAGUUAUGAAGAAGCAGAUACAAAAGAAAACUCCCUGCUCUGCACCUGUUUGCCUACAGUGAGGACAUCGACUCAGAGAGGUGUCUCUUGUCUCCUUUCUGCUGGGAGGAACAGGAGCUAAUCUCCAGGGACACACGUGGGCCCUCGCCAGCCCAGGGAUCGCGCCUCGGGAUCUACAGAACACGGCUCACGGACUUGUCUUCAUCUUCCGUAGCUCCCCCGGUUGCUGAGGCAGUGGAUUUCAAAGACCCUGCGAUGCCUCGUGGGAGAUUCCAGACUUCAGCAUCAGAAAUGUAUUUGAACCCACCCGUCUCAGUAGUGUAUUUGUCACAAAUGGGGCUAAACCGACCGGCACGGCCAAGUUACAUCUGGGUAAUGAGCCAAGAGUCUGCUCUUCCCACUGAAAGUGGGAUUUAACUUGGCAUUUCAUCAGAAAGAGGAGAAGAUGCAUGUGUUUUCACAUCUUCUCAUUUCCGACCGUCUGAGCAUCAGUCAGCACCCCAAGUUAUCAAGUCAGAAUGCAGUGGAACUGUUCUGUGAGGCGUGGAGCCACAUUCCUGAUUCGGGUUCCUUGGAGCCCUGAGCAGACGGAUCUCCCGUGGACCCGCCGGAACACGGAGCUGAGAGCCUGCUCCGUGUCAGUGAGGCCACUGUGGCUUUCAGGGCAUUUGACAUCGAGCACGUGUUUCCGGGGACCCAGAGGAAGAGCCUUCAGGGCUCUUUGAGGAAGGACUUGCAAGAGAAGAAUCCUCCACCCCAAGGGAACACAGCAUCGUGUCUUGCCUGGUGCCUGCACAGCCCCCUGACUGGUCUAGUGGCUUCCACGGUUGUUCCCUCACCCCCUCUGCACUCCUGGGGCAGACUGAAUGAGCUUUUAAAGAAACACAUCUCGUCCUUUGCCCCUUCUGCUGGGGACCUGCCCUGCUCCCCUCACACCUGAGAGCAUUCCGGCCUCCGUCUGCAUCCGCCUGCGGGGUCUCUGUUCUCAUGGCUGCUCGUGCCUCAAGAAGCAAACAUAGCAUGUUCCUGAGUCAUGAUACGACACACACACGUCCGUUAGUCACCCAGGAGGCUCAGUUCAUCAAGAGAUCUGGAGGCAGUUGUUGAAGCACGUGUGGACGACUCACCAGGCCCUUGUUGGCGCAUCGGCAGACUGGAAACCCUGCUCGCCCUUUCCACGUGGACCAGUGUCCUCACGCCAGGGCCUGGCCAGGGGCUCGCUCCCCAUGUCUGAGGGCGCCGAGUCCCCGCUGCGGCCACUGGCUCAGGGCCCAACUGGGGUCCGAUGGAGGGGGCGGCAGAGCGGGGCUGCAGUGCAGGAGUGCUUCCUGGUGGCAAUGGUGAGGCGGCCUCCUGAGGACGCUGGUGAUGGGGCGGCGUCUCCCCUCCGCUCUCCUCUUGUGUCUUCAUCGGUAAGGAUGUUUGAACACGAGUGACCCUGACUGACCCUGGCUGCUUGAUGCAGAAGAGGAAACAGCUCGGGUGACCUGGAAGGGCAGUGGGGGCAGGGCUGACUGAAUGCCAUCAGAACGUCCCCUCCCAGCUCUGGUGGCAGCUUCACUGCAGCCGGAUAGAGGGUGCACAGCCGGCUGGGUCCCUGGUGACAGGAGUCCCCUCCAGGGGGCUGGUGCCCUUGGUGAAAAUCAGGGUGUGAUGAGCCAAGAGGUGGGUCUGGAGA